UGCGUAGGCGGUUUAUUAAGUCAGUGGUGAAAUCUCAUAGCUUAACUAUGAAACUGCCAUUGAUACUGCGGGUCUUGAGUAAGGUAGAAGUAGCUGGAAUAAGUAGUGUAGCGGUGAAAUGCAUAGAUAUUACUUAGAACACCAAUUGCGAAGGCAGGUUACUAUGUCUUAACUGACGCUGAUGGACGAAAGCGUGGGGAGCGAACAGGAUUCGAUACCCCGGUA
rnacentral:rRNA from 1 species